GGUUCCAGGGGCUGGUGACCAAGAUAUAGGGGAGAGGGGAAGGGGAACACAGGCUCCUGCCAACUCCGCUAUCCGUGGCGCCCUCCUCUUCUCUCCUGGAGGCAAAGACAAAAUAGCUACGACUGGGACACGAAGACUCGUUGAACCUGGACUGGGAUCGUCCUCACCUGUCUGCUUGCUUAUAGUUCUUGGUAAGUAUGGUUUUUCCACAGGUCACUCUCCGGACAUUCACUCCCGUCUUUUCUCUCUCUUCACAGGCAGCCUGGACGCAACAACACAGUUAGUGCAACUUGGAUACUUCUCACCUCUCUGCUGUUUACAGCUCAGGGCAGCUUGGACACAACAACACAGUUAGUGCAACUUGGAUACUUCUCACCUCUCUGCUGUUUACAGCUC